rnacentral:lncRNA from 1 species
UCGUUUUAAAUUAAUAUAGUUUAAGUUACAUUUUAUAGUUAACUAUGUGGAUGAAUUCCUAACUCAUGCUUACAAAACAUAAUAAAAUGGCUAGAGCCAGUUUCGUUAUGUUCUUUUUUGUUCUCUCUCUCCUAGGAUGGAAGAAUUUGUUCACUGACUUUUAUGAUAAAAGUGGGAAUUAAGAGAAGAACCAAGUAAAUGUGCCUUAAUCAAAAUAUUGGGAAUGAAAUCUUGAUUUAUUUCUUCUCUUCAAGAUGAUGAUUAUGACAUGUAAAAUAGUUUAUACAAUCAACAAAAACCGAGUCUGGUGAAGCUGGUGGAUCAUGUGACGCUGUAAUGACAACACAAAUAUAAAAAAUAUAUCAAGUCCAAAAGGCCAGUUUCACCCAACCUUGGUUGCAUGGUAUAGUCACCUUUUGAUUUCCUUUUCCUUGGAGAUACUUGGCAUCCUUCAUAUCCUUUGAGUUCUUCCCUUUUUUUAUUAGCUCAACGUGCUUCUUACCUGUUAGAAAGCAGAGGAUGAAGGUAGAAGGUAAAGAGGAAGAGCCACUCCAUUAAUAGGUAAGACAUUAGAGUUAGAAAUCCCAGUUUUAAUGGUUUUCUUUUCUUGCCUUUCAUACACCUGUUUUUUCAUUGAGUACGAAACUAUAGUUACAAAUCCCAUUUUAUACUAAGUUUUCUCUGUUUGCACGUCUCACUUUGUUAGAAUAUCAGUUGCGGAGUGUGUGCAAGUUAAGUGUACUGAAACAGUAGAGUUUUUGCAUAAUGUGCAAGUUCAGUUGUAGUAACAUUGUGAGUUAUUGCAGAAUGUGCAAAUUGAAUGUUACUUACAUUGCAAGCUCUUUCUUUAGUACAUCUACAAUGGGAGUCUUGUGGACUCUUAUGAUAAGACUGAGGCCUUAAUAACAAUGUUCUGCAGAUCUUACCGGGAAAAAACAAUGUUCUUCAGAGUCUUAUGCAGACUUUUAAACCAGGUUUUUAAAUUUCAGGACUCAAUUUAGGAAUCUUCUAUGCGCCUAAGGAAUAUGUUCUCAUUUGCUUGGCAACCGUCCUUGCAACAUGUCGUAGAAUCAUAAGAGCUUGAGAGGUCUGAAGUUGAGUCAUAAUAGGAUAAAUGAUGAUGAGGUAUAAUUUUAAGAGACUAAGAGUUUUCAGGGUUGUGGUUGUUCUUGAGUAUUUCUUUUUUGUGGUCCAGCUACAUUAGGCACACAUGUUAAUAAGAAUGGCAUCACCAUGGUAAGGGAAAUGGGUCUGCAAGAAUGAAUCAUAGGAUAGGAUCGAGGAUCAUAAUGUAAGAACAUGAGGUAACAAUUUGAUGUUAAUGUUACACAAGAUGCAAAGUACAGUGAUAUGAAAAACAGAGAAUUAUAAAAGGCUUACCUAUGGAUUGGCUUGGUAGUUUUUUACUUGCUCGUAUUGAAUAGUUCCUAGGAGUCACCAUACUCUCUUUCAAUAUGGGUUAAUAAAGUGAGUUUUAAUACAUAUGUGAACAAUUAGUAAUAACACAUGGAUAAAUGAGGUAGAUUUAUGAUUUGCUUGUAGCAAAAUAGAACAAUUAGAGCUAUAUAGAUUAUUCUUUUAAAGAAAGAAAUAAUGUUGUCCAACAAUUUAUUCCAAUGUUCUUCCUUUUCUGCAUAAAAGUGCUUAAAGAAUGAGAUGUCAAAAGGAAUAUGACUUCCUUUUCUUUUUCACUCUCUUUUUGUUGUAUUUAUCUAAAACAAAUUAUUUUUCAAUAUUUCAAGAAAUCCUGGAAACAAUCUCUUCACCUGCGAAAAGAAUGCGUACAUCUUCCCUCCUCAUAUACCACUAGGUGAGAGUCUUAUGCAUUGGGCCGCCCUUUUUUAUACCAGUCUGUUUAUUUGAUUUUUUUUUUGUUUUUCAAUUGAUUUUGCAAUUGCAGCACAUAGAGACAGAGAGCUGUGGUUUAGUACUAAC